rnacentral:rRNA from 1 species
GACGAACGCUGGCGGCGUGCUUAACACAUGCAAGUCGAACGGAAAGGCCCUGCUUUUGUGGGGUGCUCGAGUGGCGAACGGGUGAGUAACACGUGAGUAACCUGCCCUUGACUUUGGGAUAACUUCAUUAAACUGGGGCUAAUACCGGAUAGGAGCUCCUGCUGCAUGGUGGGGGUUGGAAAGUGUCGGCGGUUGGGGAUGGACGCGCGGCUUAUCAGCUUGUUGGUGGGGUAGUGGCUUACCAAGGCUUUGACGGGUAGCCGGCCUGAGAGGGUGACCGGCCUGACUGGGACUGAGAUGCGCCCCAGACCCCGACGGGAGGCAGCAGUGGGGAAUAUCGCACGCUGGGCGGCAGCCUGACGCAGCAACGCCGGGUGCGCGAUGAACGCCCUCCGGUUGUAAACCCCGUUAGCCUGUGACGAAGCGUCAGUGACGGUAAUGGGUAAAGAAGACCCGGCUAACUACGUG